rnacentral:rRNA from 1 species
CCUACGGGAGGCAGCAGUGAGGAAUAUUGGUCAAUGGACGAGAGCCUGAACCAGCCAAGUAGCGUGAAGGAUGACUGCCCUAUGGGUUGUAAACUUCUUUUAUAAAGGAAUAAAACGUGACACGUGUGCCUUUUUGCAUGUACUUUAUGAAUAAGGAUCGGCUAACUCCGUGCCAGCAGCCGCGGUAAUACGGAGGAUCCGAGCGUUAUCCGGAUUUAUUGGGUGUAAAGGGAGCGUAGAUGGGUUGUUAAGUCAGUUGUGAAAGUUUGCGGCUCAACCGUAAAAUUGCAAUUGAUACUGGCAGGCUUGAGUACAGUAGAGGUAGGUGGAAUUCGUGGUGUAGCGGUGAAAUGCUUAGAUAUCACGAAGAACCCCGAUGGCGAAGGCAGCUUACUGAACUGUGACUGACGUUGAUGCUCGAAAGUGUGGGGAUCAAACAGGAUUAGAUACCCGAGUAGUC